CCUACGGGAGGCAGCAGUGGGGAAUUUUGCGCAAUGGACGAAAGUCUGACGCAGCAACGCCGCGUGGGUGAUGAAGGUCUUCGGACUGUAAAACCCUGUCGUCAGGGACGAAGGUUUGGGGGUUAAUAGCCCUUAAGCUUGACGGUACCUGGAGAGGAAGCCCCGGCUAACUCUGUGCCAGCAGCCGCGGUAAUACAGAGGGGGCAAGCGUUAUUCGGAAUUAUUGGGCGUAAAGGGCGCGUAGGCGGUUUGUUAAGUCAGAUGUGUAAUCCCCGAGCUCAACUUGGGAACUGCAUCUGAGACUGGCAGGCUAGAGUACUGGAGAGGGUGGUGGAAUUCCUCGUGUAGCGGUGAAAUGCGUAGAGAUGAGGAGGAACACCAGUGGCGAAGGCGGCCACCUGGACAGUAACUGACGCUGAGGCGCGAAAGUGUGGGUAGCAAACAGGAUUAGAUACCCUGGUAGUCCACGCUGUAAACGAUGAACACUUGGUGUGGAGGGAGUUGACCCCUUCCGUGCCGGAGCUAACGCGUUAAGUGUUCCGCCUGGGGAGUACGGUCGCAAGGCUGAAACUCAAAGGAAUUGACGG
rnacentral:rRNA from 1 species